GAUGAAGAACGUAGCGAAAUGCGAUAAGUAAUGUGAAUUGCAGAAUUCAGUGAAUCAUCGAAUCUUUGAACGCACAUUGCGCCCGGUAGUAUUCUGCCGGGCAUGCCUGUUCGAGCGUCAUUUCAACCAUCAAGCCCCAGCGCUUGUGUUGGGGGCCUGCGGCUGCCGCAGCCCCCUAAAAGCAGUGGCGGGCUCGCUAUCACACCGAGUGCAGUAGUUCAUCUUCUCUCCAGUCUUGUGAGGCGGGUUCCGGCCGUGAAACACCCCACUACAUUCAAGGUUGACCUCGGAUCAGGUAGGAAUACCCGCUGAACUUAAGCAUAUCAAUAAGCGGAGGA
rnacentral:misc_RNA from 1 species